CCAGACUCCUACGGGAGGCAGCAGUGGGGAAUAUUGCACAAUGGGGGAAACCCUGAUGCAGCGACGCCGCGUGAGCGAUGAAGCAUUUCGGUAUGUAAAGCUCUAUCAGCAGGGAAGAAAAUGACGGUACCUGACUAAGAAGCCCCGGCUAACUACGUGCCAGCAGCCGCGGUAAUACGUAGGGGGCAAGCGUUAUCCGGAUUUACUGGGUGUAAAGGGAGCGUAGACGGCCAUUCAAGCCAGAUGUGAAAGCCCGGGGCUCAACUCCGGGACUGCAUUUGGAACUGUGGGGCUAGAGUGUCGGAGAGGCAGGCGGAAUUCCUAGUGUAGCGGUGAAAUGCGUAGAUAUUAGGAGGAACACCAGUGGCGAAGGCGGCCUGCUGGACGAUGACUGACGUUGAGGCUCGAAAGCGUGGGGAGCAAACAGGAUUAGAUACCCCCGUAC
rnacentral:rRNA from 1 species